CAAAGAGAAGGAGAAAGAGAAAGAAGAAGAAGGAGAAGGAGAGCAAGCAAGGAAGAGGAAGGGAGGACCAAGGGUUUCCUACCAACUAAGAUGUUGAUUCAGGUAACCCUUUGGAAACUGUGAUUGAGGAUCCGGCUCUAUGGAGGUGAUCUCUAGGAUGAGGAGCUGGUUGCACACGAGAAUAGAUGCGUGUGCGAUGACUGUGCAUUUGGAGCACGCUGAUGAUGGAGUAUCAUCUUUUCUUUUUUAUUCUUUUUGUACUAAGCAGAGGUAGCCGUAGAAGCAUAAUUGUAAUUGAUAUUUUGCUGCAAAAACAUUUUGUUAAAUAUGAUAAAUACUAUUAGACUCCACCAAUUAUGUAUAUUUGACUCUUAUUUUAUCUUGUGAUCUAAAAUCAUUUCAUAA